UACGGAGGGUGCAAGCGUUAUCCGGAUUCACUGGGUUUAAAGGGUGCGUAGGCGGGCAGGUAAGUCAGUGGUGAAAUCUCCGGGCUUAACCCGGAACUGCCGUUGAUACUAUCUGUCUUGAAUAUCGUGGAGGUAAGCGGAAUAUGUCAUGUAGCGGUGAAAUGCUUAGAUAUGACAUAGAACACCCAUUGCGAAGGCAGCUUCUACACGAUCAUUGACGCUGAGGCACGAAAGCGUGGGGAGCAAACAGG
rnacentral:rRNA from 1 species